GCCGGGAGGGCGGCCAAUACAACACCCUGCGAAGGGAAAUACGCCCACCGUCUUUACGCGGUUUCUAACCUCCCGGCAUCCCGGC
rnacentral:ncRNA from 1 species